GAUGAACGCUAGCUACAGGCUUAACACAUGCAAGUCGAGGGGCAGCAUGGUCUUAGCUUGCUAAGGCCGAUGGCGACCGGCGCACGGGUGAGUAACACGUAUCCAACCUGCCGUCUACUCUUGGACAGCCUUCUGAAAGGAAGAUUAAUACAAGAUGGCAUCAUGAGUCCACAUGUUCAACAUUGAUUAAAAGGUAUUCCGGUAGGACGAUGGGGAUGCGUUCCAUUAGAGUAGUAGGCGGGGUAACGGCCCACCUAGUCUUCGGAUGGAUAGGGGUUCUCGAGAGGAAGGUCCCCCACAUUGGAACUGAGACACGGUCCAA
rnacentral:rRNA from 1 species